rnacentral:rRNA from 1 species
AUUGAACGCUGGCGGCAGGCCUAACACAUGCAAGUCGAGCGAGAGGCGGACGGGUGAGUAAUGUAUGGGGACUGCCCGAUAGAGGGGGAUAACUCCUGGAAACGGUAGCUAAUACAGCAUACUAUCGGAUAACACCUAUGGGAUUAGCUCGUAGGUGGGGUAAUGGCUCACCUAGGAGACGAUCCCUAGCUGGUUUGAGAGGAUGAUCAGCCACACUGGAACUGAGACACGGCCCAGACUCCUACGGAGGCAGCAGUGGGGAAUAUUGCACAAGGGGCGCAAGCCUGAUGCAGCCAUGCCGCGUGUAUGAAGAAGGCCCUAGGGUUGUAAAGUACUUUCAGUCGGGAGGCGUUACCGACAGAAGAAGCACCGGCUAACUCCGUGCCAGCAGCCGCGGUAAUAC